GUCUACGGCCAUACCACCCUGAACGCACCCGAUCUCGUCUGAUCUCGGAAAUUUAAAAGUGAAAAACACAAAGUUUCUAUUAGAGAAUCAUUGCUUCCUUUAACA
ensembl:rRNA 5S_rRNA 5S ribosomal RNA